GUCCACGCCCUAAACGAUGUCGACUAGUUGUUGGGGGGUUAAAUCCCUUAGUAACGAAGCUAACGCGUGAAGUCGACCGCCUGGGGAGUACGGUCGCAAGAUUAAAACUCAAAGGAAUUGACGGGGGCCCGCACAAGCGGUGGAUGAUGUGGUUUAAUUCGAUGCAACGCGAAAAACCUUACCUACCCUUGACAUGUGAGGAACCCUGCAGAGAUGCGGGGGUGCCCGAAAGGGAGCCUCAACACAGGUGCUGCAUGGCUGUCGU
rnacentral:rRNA from 1 species